CCGGGGCCCCGGCCGGAGCAGGGCGCUCCGGGAGCCGUUGUCCUCACGCUGGGGGGCUAAAGACUGUCUUUUCCAAGGCCUGGUUAUCAGCCAAGCUUUAAUGACCUUUGGACUUGUUAAACCAGUAGCUCGGGGGCUUUUCCAUUGACUGCGGACCUGCCUGAGUCCGGAGAGCUGAAGAAACGGCUUCGGUGGUUCAGCUGCGGAAGCCCAGGGCCAAGGGCCGAGGUCCCCACCUGCCGGGUUGGGAGGAUUCGGCUUGCCGCGCCCCGGGCCCAGCUACAGUUCCUGGCGCCGGGGACCGGUUUUUGUGGACUCAGGUCAUGGCGGUGGUGGCGCGAGCCCGGAACGGCAGAAGGAGUCGGCUCAGACAAAAUCGCUGUCCGCAAGAAGCAAGAAGUUGGUUUUCCACCCGGGCCUAGGCCCUGAAGGAUGCCGUGGGGUUUGCAGCACCCACUGGCUUUGGCCCGGGUAUCCCCGCAGCAUUGAGGGGGAAGGAAGGCUGUGUGCCUGAGGCUCACCCAGACCUACCAGUGUGAAACCUGGCCUGCAGAAAGAAGAACAGGAGAAGGGUGCACUUGAGAGCCAUCUCACAGACCCUCCUCUCCUGGGAGCCUCCGUCCCCUCAUCUGUGAACCAGAGAAACUACUAAUGCCUCCUGUUAAAUGAAGCCCCACGCAAUGCCCAUGGGCUCACGAUAGUGUGCACACCUCCUAGGGUGGAAAUGCAGAAAUCCCAGCAGUCUAAACUAAUCGCCACUCCGCUGGAAGCUUGGUGUUCUCAGUCAAGGUGUUGUAUCUUGAACAGUAACUGGUGGUAGCAGUGUCAUGGAAGGAACUGAGAAGUUUGGGGACACAAAUCCAGAAUCAGCUGAGAAUUUGCCAAGGAGUUUGUUUCUAAACUCUACCUCUCCCAUCUCUAAAAAGACAGUUAGGAAGCCUGGGUUGGGUUACACAGAGAAGUAUUUCUGGCUAGAGGAGGACAGGUCUGCAGUUGUCAUGGGCUGGGUUUAGGGUUCCAUCUUCCAGGUGUAGGUGUGCUGAAACCCCUGGGCCAUUGGUCCAAGCCUCGCUGCUGAAGAGCUAGGCUGCUUCUUUUAAAUACAUGACCUGGCCACCUGCCUCUGGAGGCUGCAAAGAAUUGGGGUGGCUGUCUGCAGGGAAACUCAGGGAAGGUUACCACAGCUCUCAGCAGUUGCUUCUUCUGCAACAAAAAAUGUUAAGUUCAUGGAAAUUAGGACCCUUCCUUUCACCUCAUUGUUUUCCGGUUUGUUGUGAAGCGUGGCAGGCCUCUGCCCUGAGCAGUUCAGCCCCAAGGGAAACAUUCCCUGGCUCCCUAGUUCCUCUCAACAAGGAUCAUGAAGUGCUCAGAGUGUAUGUCCCUGAAGAACAAUCUCUUUCAGUCUCUCACUUGCUAUCAUGAUAGAAUCAGUCAAGUGUAAUGAAGGCCAGUUUCUGUGUUUAACUGGGAAAACCCAUUAAAAAACCAGCAAUCACUUCCCUUUUAACAAGAAAGCUUUGAUUUGUAGUUCUAGCCGCUGUGUGGCCUAGUCUGACUCCUCAGCCUUUUUAGCUUUCAAAAUUCAGGGAUCAGCAAACCUACUCCUCCCCUCAUCCCAGACAACUAUGUGAAGUGCUGGGAAGUUUCCAAGAGAGUACAGGGCAACUUUCCUGAUAAAUAACGGAGGUCGCCUGGUCACUUACAGCCAACAGCUUCUUGCAGUCACUGCCCCCACCCCCGCCCCUGGUGCCCAAAUCUAGCUUGUACGUGCUGCCUGGUGCACUGUGGGUGCUCAUCAAGUACCCACAGCUAUGGAUCUGUGAACAGGUUCAAUAUCCAUUCCUCCACAUGGGAAUUUAAGAAGAGUAUUUGGCCAGCAGAUAGUUCUCUUUAUAUGCCCUAAAGCAGAUUAGGAUGUAUGUCAUAAAUUCAAAAUAAGUGAGCUGCUUCAUAAACCCCACUGUUAAGCUUCCCCCAAAUAGAGGAAACAAAGAACACAGUUGCAGUGCUCUUCCUUUUUCCUCCACAGAGGAUCAAGCGGUGGUGGGAAGUAAGACCAUAAGACAGUUUGAGGAGGGGUAUUUGGAACCGCUGGGUAAACUCCUGGGAGGGCUGGGAUUGGAGCUCAGGGCUGUUGAGCGAGGCUAUAGGAUGAAAAAGGAUUAGGGCCGACUUUCCAAGUCCAAGAAAGGUCUUGUUUUGUUUGUGGAGGGCGGGCAGGGGAAAGGAGGGCAUGUAGGAGGGUAAGGUAUAGGGCACAGUGAAGAACAGAGGGCAGACGUGGCAGUGGAAUAGGCUGGCUCUGGAUCUGAGCCUGGGAUCUGCUGAAGCAGCUUUGUGAACUUGGACAAGUGAUGGAAUUGUUCUGAGGCUCAGUUUCUUACGUUAUGCUUGCCUGCGUUUUCCUGAAGAUUCAAUGUCUUAUUAACUGCAGGUUCCUGGGGUCUGGCAGGUUCUCGCGUGUUUCGAAGGAAGAGGCGCUUUCUGAAAGGGAUACCAGGAAGUGCAAGCACUGGAGUCCACAGACUCUUAGGGGCCUAGCUUUUUCCAAGGGGAAUUCCAUUUGAAGAGAUCCUAGUCUGUUUUUCUAGUUAAAUGGCAAAUCUACACUUCAGGUCCACGUUUUGUUUGUCUGCUUGUUUUAUGAGGAACGGAAUCCUGGGGUAGAAUAACUUAACAUCCCAGUUGGCUCAUCACUCCAUGAAGGUUUUCCAAGAACCAUCUUGGUCAUUUCAUAGAAUGCCGAAUAUGACUCCCGUGGAUGCAUGUCCCUUGUAUGUCACUGCGUGUGUGAGAUCUUGUUCUGCUCUUGUGCACACAGCCUCCCCCCCCCAUAUAGUUACUCUCCAAGGUUUACUCCUCCUUGUUUGGACAGACAGUCUAGAGCAGUGACAACCUUCCUCAUGCCGUGACCUUUUAAUACAGUUCCUCAUGCUGUGGUGACCCUCCCACCAUACAAUUGUUUUCAUGGCUACUCCAUAACUGCCAUUUUGCUACUGUGAUGAAUCGGGGGACCCCUGUGAAAGGGUCAUUCGACCCCCAAAGCGGUCUCGAUGCACAGGUUGAGGACCGCUGGUCUAGAUGAUCUCCAAAUGGAAUGAUUUUUAAAGCAAAGCAUUAAUGCUGCUCUAUCCUGGCUGUAGGAGGUCGGGGUGGCUCUUAUUGCUAGUAGGGUCUCAGCCUGGAGAACCUUCCACGGGUCAGAACCGUAAGGUUCUGGGUCUGGACACAACACUCCUUUCUGGGUGGCUCUCAAAAGCUUGGAUAAGCAUCUUCUUUGGGUCUCUGAUUCCACUUUUUUUUUUUUUUAAUGGCCAGAUCUGGUUGAUCAUUUAAGUUCCCUAAGAUAUCUAUGAUUUGACAUUCCUAAGAGAUUUUAAAUUCCUGGGGUGUCUACUUUCCAGGUGUCUUGGGUAGAUGGUCCAUGAGCUCAGGCAGACCUGUGGUGGCCUGUGGUGGUGGAUGUAGGGAGUUUGACGAGCUCCAAAGAAAGAUGACAGGCAUUAAGCUUCAUGAGGGCAGGGGCUUUUUCAUGUCCUGCUUUCCAGUGCCUUGAGUGGUGCUGGAUACAUAGUAGAUGUUCAAUAAAACAUUUGUUGAGAAUGAGCAAGUAAUCAUUUCUGAAGAACGCCAUUAAGAACAAUAUUUGUUUCUGUAUUUGCAUUUCUCAUUUUUACAAGUGGUCACCAAAGAAGUUGUAUUAAAAAAAAAUAACUCCUCCAAAUACAAAAGAGCAGAGACUUCUAGACUUCAGGUAUGAAGUUACAAAGCAGGGGAAACUCCCCUGUGGUGACAGAGGUCAGCAUUGAGGUUAUCGUUUGGAACAUUUUUGGAGGGGGUAGGAAGGAGUUUUCUGGGGGUGCUAAAAUGUUUACUAUCUUCAUCAGGAUUGUGCGUACACCCGCAGGCCAUGCACUCAGGAUUUAUGCAUGUUAUCAUAUAUAAGUUGUAGCUUAGCCUAAAGUAAUUCAAUAAACAAUUCCAAAGUGAAA